rnacentral:rRNA from 1 species
UGAGGAAUAUUGCACAAUGGGCGCAAGCCUGAUCCAGCAAUGCCGCGUGUGUGAAGAAGGCCUUCGGGUUGUAAAGCACUUUUAUCAGGAACGAAAAGCGUGGGGUUAAUACCUUUACGUGCUGACGGUACCUGAGGAAUAAGCACCGGCUAACUUCGUGCCAGCAGCCGCGGUAAUACGAAGGGUGCAAGCGUUAAUCGGAAUUACUGGGCGUAAAGCGUGCGCAGGCGGCUUUGCAAGACAGAUGUGAAAUCCCCGGGCUCAACUCGGAACGGUCAGAUGAUACUGCUUUGCUAGAGUGCAGAAGGGGCAAUCGGAAUUCUUGGUGUAGCGGUGAAAUGCGUAGAUAUCAAGAGGAACACCUGAGGUGAAGACGGGUUGCUGGGCUGACACUGACGCUGAGGCGCGAAAGCCAGGGGAGCAAACGGGAUUAGAUACCCGAGUAGUCCCUGAGCGGGCUGGCAAGGCGCAU